rnacentral:rRNA from 1 species
GAUGAACGCUAGCUACAGGCUUAACACAUGCAAGUCGAGGGGACGGCGCACGGGUGAGUAACGCGUAAAGAACUUGCCUCACGGAUAGGGACAACAUUUGGAAACGAAUGCUAAUACCUGAUACUGGGAGAGAGCUUUGCGUCCCAUUAGCUAGUUGGAGAGGUAACGGCUCACCAAGGCGAUGAUGGGUAGCCGGCCUGAGAGGGUGAUCGGCCACAAGGGGACUGAGACACGGCCCUUACUCCUACGGGAGGCAGGAGUGGGGAAUAUGGAACAAUGGACCAAAGUCUGAGCCAGCAAUUCUGUGUGCACGAUGAAGUGUUUAGGAAUGUAAAGGGCUUUCAGUUGGGAAGCGGUACCAACAGAAGAAGUGACGGCUAAAUACGUGCCAGCAGCCGCGGUAAUUC